GGUAGCAACGGCAAUGCCGUCGAUAUAGUAUUAGCGACGGCUACAACGACGAAAAUUUAGCCAUCACUAAUACUAACCCUAAAAGCCCCCCAUUGUUUUCCGACUUUUUAUUUUCGCUCAUUCCACCGCCACCCUCCUUUUUCCCCCGCCUCCGGUCCCUCUCUUUUCCCCAUCGUUGGAUCCCACUUUUUCGAAACCCCGGCCACCUUCUCCCGGCUGCCUCUAGUCCCCCUCUUUCUCCCGUCGCU
rnacentral:lncRNA from 1 species